rnacentral:rRNA from 1 species
UACAGGGGGUGCAAACGUUGCUCGGAAUUAUUGGGCGUAAAGCGCUCGCAGGCGGCUUGCUACGUCGUGCGUGAAACACCCCGGCUCAACUGGGGAGGGUCGUGCGAUACGGGCAGGCUGGAGGCCAGUAGGGGGAUGCGGAAUUCCGGGUGUGAGUGGUGGAAUGCGUAGAGAUCCGGAGGAACACCAGCGGCGAAGGCGGCAUCCUGGACUGGUCCUGACACUCAGGAGCGAAAGCGUGGGAGCGAGCCGG